rnacentral:rRNA from 1 species
UACGUAGGGUGCGAGCGUUAAUCGGAAUUACUGGGCGUAAAGCGUGCGCAGGCGGCUUCGCAAGUCAGACGUGAAAUCCCCGGGCUUAACCUGGGAAUGGCAUUUGGGACUGCAAGGCUGGAGUGUGGCAGAGGAGACUGGAAUUCCCGGUGUAGCAGUGAAAUGCGUAGAUAUCGGGAGGAAUACCGAUGGCGAAGGCAGGUCUCUGGGCUGACACUGACGCUCAUGCACGAAAGCGUGGGGAGCAAACAGG